UACGUAGGGGGCAAGCGUUGUUCGGAAUCAUUUGGCGUAAAGGGCGCGUAGGUGGUUCUGUAUGUCUACCGUGAAAGCGUACGGCUCAACCGUAUUUUGUCGGUAGAAACUGCAGGACUUGAGGCUGGGAGGGGCUGGUGGAAUUCCCUGUGUAGCGGUGAAAUGCGUAGAGAUGGGGGAGAACACUCGUGGCGAAGGCGGCCAGCUAGACCAGUUCUGACACUGAGGCGCGACAGCGUGGGGAGCAAACAGG
rnacentral:rRNA from 1 species